UACGUAGGGGGCUAGCGUUAUCCGGAAUUAUUGGGCGUAAAGGGUGCGUAGGUGGUUUCUUAAGUCAGAGGUGAAAGGCUACGGCUCAACCGUAGUAAGCCUUUGAAACUGGGAAACUUGAGUGCAGGAGAGGAGAGUGGAAUUCCUAGUGUAGCGGUGAAAUGCGUAGAUAUUAGGAGGAACACCAGUCGCAAAGGCGGCUCUCUGGACUGUAACUGACACUGAGGCACGAAAGCGUGGGGAGCAAACAGGAUUAGAUACCCUGGUAGUCCCUGAG
rnacentral:rRNA from 1 species